UCUCAGUUGUCCAUUGGGCAUUAGGUUGGACUUUGGAUCCUCUUCUCUUCUCAGACAGGCUUCUCGAAUCUCUCCCGCUCAGCUCUGCAUCUCCCUCGCCUUCGCAAGUCAUAACCUUCCUCCUCAUCCUCUUCCGUGUAGCGGCCCUCUCUGUGAACUUCAGCUCUGCAUCUCCGUUCAAGAUUCAUGCAAGCACAUGGGAAAGCAAUACUGCAUCGCCGCAUCUGAGAUUUGCAGCUUUGGAGACGAAAUCAAAGGAGAUGCGGAAGAGAGUUACCUUUAUCAGUGUCAAGAACUGAGAGGGACAUGAGAUACAGCUAGGGAGGCACGGCUGGGUAUUUGUUUUUGAGGUUGAUCUAUGGCCGAAGAAUGCUGAGAUCAUGGUGAAGUAUGUUUUGGACCAUGAAAUUCAUUGGAGGGGAUGCGGCUGCUAUGGUUUUUGAGGGAAAUGAGACAUGAAUGGAGGAGUCUGCGGCUUUGGGCUCCAGGUGAAAGAGAAGGGGAGCUUCUCAAACGGCUAGGUUUGGGGCAACGAGGAUACUGGGGCUUAAUUUAGCUUAAGGGCACUUUGAUUCGGGUCCAAAAAAUUCAGUUGUUUUUUAAUUGGGUCCAAUUUUAUUUGAUUUCUAUUACACCUGUUUUGCCCUUAGAAAAUAUAUUUUUUUUUAAUUCUAUAAAUUUGAAUCUUCAAAUACCUUUAUCUACCCGUUUUCUAAUUAAAAAGACA